UUACCACUUAGCACCAAUUGCAACUGGGGACAUUUAUUCGGUACGGUGAUGAUUGGCUAAGGAUGAGUCAGAAUUCCAAAUCUUAAGAGACUGACUUAUUAGAGAAUCUGAAUUGAAAAGUUUCUCUUGUACUUUGGUUUUGGAGUUCACAUGUUUUUACUCUCCUUUUUUGUCUUAACGGGUCCACCAUGUUUUACAAGACCAAAAUAUCUUAAUUAAUUAGUUUAAGAAUUCCUACAUUUAAAAAAAAAAAAAAAAAAAAAACCAAAGCCCUAACCUGACGCCUAGAUCCUUGGCCACCUUCAUCGAAUCUGCUUCUUCUUAGAUCUUCUCCUCGUGGAAUCUGCUGUAUAUACUGGUGGUACUAGAUUCUCUUCUUCACAUUCUUAUGCUUGGUGAUCCGAAUGCUUUUUUUACUUAUAUUGGCUUGAUUCAUGGGUGGUGGAUCUUUUCUAAUUUGGUUAGAAACGCUAAUUAAUCAAUGUGAAUCUGAAUUGAUUAGAUUAUAUCUCUGGUCAAGUGGUAGUCUUCGAGUCUCUAUGUUGUGGAUAUUAGGGUCCUUGCAAGAUUGUUCGAUUCUAGGCUUCUAGCUUAUGACAUCUUCCUGCUACUUUCACUGACAUAUGUUUUACUUGUCAUUUGCUCUGUUUUUGUUUGCAUAUCAACAUCACUGGUCAUUGGUAACGCAUCAUUCUUUAAAGACUUGUUGUGUUUUCCUCUUGAGGCAGUUAAAAUGUAGAUUUGUGUAUCUUCUUGUACGUAGUAUCCUUGUCCAGGGAUGGCAGACCGAUUGACGCGGAUUGCUAUCUGUCAGUGAAGACUGGUGCAAGCCUAAGAAGGAGUGCAAGAAGAGUUGUCGUGUUGUCAUCAAGACUGGGAGACUUUGUAUUGAAGUGACUCCUGCUUCCAAGACUGCUUUCUUAUCGGAGGAACUGUGUAUAGGAUGUGGUAUCUGAGUGAAGAAAUGCCCGUGAGAAGCUAUUCAAAUCAUCAUAGUGUAUGAAGGACAACCAUCUAUCAAGUGUAUGGCUCAUUCUUUACAGUCACUACUCAGUGGAAUGAACCUCUUCUUAUCGCACUUGAACAUCACAUUUAGAAGGGAUCCGACUAACUUCAGGCCAAGGAUCAACAAAUUAGAGUCCACCAAAGACAGGGAACAGAAGGCUGCAGGCUCAUACUACUACUUGGACGACUGAUUGAUCGGUUAACAAGAGAGAGGAAUCGGUUAACAACAAAUUAUGUAUAACGCAUAAAUAAAUACUUGAAUUUGGUGUUUUCAGGGGAUGUAUUAUAGUAUACUAGUAUUUAAGACUGAAACAAUCGCUUUGAUAAAGUUAUGACUAUGGUCUAGAAAUUCCAAAUUUAAAGCA